CAGUAGUUUACUACAGAAAAUGACUGAGCGGCGAACGGGUGAGUAACGCGUGAGCAAUCUACCUUAGUUACAGGGAUAGCCCGAGGAAACUCGGAUUAAUACCUGAUAUUCUUUACAUUUCGCAUGAAAUUAAAAGGAAAGGUCAGCCGAACUAAGAUGAGCUCGCGUUCUAUCAGCUAGUUGGUGAGGUAAAAGCUUACCAAGGCUACGACGGAUAGCUGGUCUGAGAGGACGAUCAGCCACACUGGGACUGAGACACGGCCCAGACUCCUACGGGAGGCUGCAGCAGGGAAUAUUGCGCAAUGAGCGAAAGCUUGACGCAGCGACACCGCGUGUGGGAUGACGGAUCUAGGUUUGUAAACCACUUUCAGGAGGGAAGAAAAUGACGGUACCUCCACAAGAAGCCCCGGCCAACUACGUGCCAGCAGCCGCGGUAAUACGUAGGGGGCGAGCGUUGUCCGGAUUUAUUGGGCGUAAAGAGCUCGUAGGCGGUUCAACAAGUCGGUCGUGAAAGUUCAGGGCUCAACCCUGAAAUGUCGAUCGAUACUGUUGUGACUAGGAUACGGUAGAGGUGAGUGGAAUUCCGAGUGUAGCGGUGAAAUGCGUAGAUAUUCGGAGGAACACCAAUUGCGAAGGCAGCUCACUGGGCC
rnacentral:rRNA from 1 species